UUUAGUUUUAAAAAGAAGAAAACACACUUACUGUUCACAAUGAGUUUGGAGCCUCCACCAAAAGUGUACCACAGUGAUACAUUCUAAUGAAACCAUCGUACAAAAACCUCCAUCACGCUGCAGUGCACACACACACACACACACACACACACACACACACACACACACACACACACACACACACACACUUUGCAUUGGUGGCCCAUGCUUCAGUGCUCUGUGAGUGUUUAUAGCCCUGUGACUUUAACACUUCAUGACUGAGAGCUGCUGCUCAGCAACUUCACCCACAGCAACCAUGACUUUGAUCAGCGUCUUCAUCUGCACACUCGCCCUCUGGACUCAAGGAUCCAGAGGUCAGGUGACUGUGACUCAGACUCCUUCAAUGCAAACUCUUGCUCCAGGAAACACAGUCACCAUCAACUGUAAAACCAGUAGCGAAGUGUAUAAUGGUAACAAUCUCGCAUGGUACCUGCAGAAACCUGGAGAAGCUCCUAAACUCCUGAUCUACAGAGCUACUUACAGACGGUCAGGGAUUCCAGAUCGAUUCAGUGGCAGUGGAUCUAAUACUGACUUCACUCUGACCAUCAGGAGAGUCCAGACUGAAGAUACAGGACAUUACUACUGUCAGAGUAGACAUGAUGUUGGCUGGUUCAGUAAUAGCUGGGUGUUCACACCGUGUUAGAGCGUCGUACAAAAACCUCGGUCAGUGAGACUGCACAGAGAAACACUGCUGCAGCUGGGAGUGACUGCAGGUGCUGAGGGGGAGGAUGUGAUACAGCACAAUGACACACACUGUGGACCAGAGAAAACACACCACACUAACUCACUAAUGUACACACACACACACACACACACACACACAC